rnacentral:rRNA from 1 species
AGUGAAACUGCGAAUGGCUCAUUAAAUCAGUAUCGUUUAUUGACAUUACCUUACUACAUGGAUACCUGUAGAAAAUCUAGAGCUAAUACAUGCUAAAAACCCCGACUUCGGGAGGGGUGCGUUUAUUAGAUAAAAAACCAAUGCCCUUCGGGGCUUCUUGGUGAUUCAUGAUAACUCAGUUGAUCGCAUGGCUUUACGCCGGCGACGGUACAUUCAAAUUUCUGCCCUAUCAACUUUCGAUGGUAAGGUAGUGGCUUACCAUGGUUUCAACGGGUAACGGGGAAUUAGGGUUCGAUUCCGGAGAGGGAGCCUGAGGAACGGCUACCACAUCCAAGGAAGGCAGCAGGCGCGCAAAUUACCCAAUUCUGAUACAGAGAGGUAGUGACAAUAAAUACUGAUACAGGGCUCUUUUGGGUCUUGUAAUUGGAAUGAGUACAAUUUAAACCUCUUAACGAGGAACAAUUGGAGGGCAAGUCUGGUGCCAGCAGCCGCGGUAAUUCCAGCUCCAAUAGCGUAUAUUAAAGUUGUUGCAGUUAAAAAGCUCGUAGUUGAACCUUUGGUCUGGCUGGCAGGUCCGCCUCACCGCGUGCACUUGACCGGCCGGGCCUUUUCUUCUGGAGAACCGCAUGCCCUUCACUGGGUGUGUUGGGGACCAGGACUUUUACUUUGAAAAAAUUAGAGUGUUCAAAGCAGGCCUUUGCUCGAAUACGUUAGCAUGGAAUAAUAGAAUAGGACGUGCGGUCCUAUUUUGUUGGUUUCUAGGACCGCCGUAAUGAUUAAUAGGGACAGUCGGGGGCAUCAGUAUUCAAUUGUCAGAGGUGAAAUUCUUGGAUUUAUUGAAGACUAACUACUGCGAAAGCAUUUGCCAAGGAUGUUUUCAUUAAUCAGUGAACGAAAGUUAGGGGAUCGAAGACGAUCAGAUACCGUCGUAGUCUUAACCAUAAACUAUGCCGACUAGGGAUCGGGCGGUGUUUCUAUUGUGACCCGCCCGGCACCUUACGAGAAAUCAAAGUUUUGGCUCUGGGGAGUAGGAAGUC